AUUUAAAACUUACGUUCUAAAUAGGGGGAGUGUGUCGGGAAAAAGGUUGACAUUAAUAAUUAGUAGUUAAAUUUAGAGAUGAGGUGACUACCAUAUAUGGAAUUGAUUGACAGGCAUGAGAUAAAAGGAAUGCUGUUAAUGUUGUUAUUGCAUGGGAAUAUAUGUAACUGGGAGCGAUUUGGGAAGGGAUUAUAAUACAAAACACAAGAUAAACGC